AGUGAACGCUGGCGGUAGGCCUAACACAUGCAAGUCGAACGGCGGCACAGUAAGAGCUUGCUCUUACGGGUGGCGAGUGGCGGACGGGUGAGGAAUACAUCGGAAUCUACUUUUUCGUGGGGGAUAACGUAGGGAAACUUACGCUAAUACCGCAUACGACCUACGGGUGAAAGCAGGGGAUCUUCGGACCUUGCGCGAUUGAAUGAGCCGAUGUCGGAUUAGCUAGUUGGCGGGGUAAAGGCCCACCAAGGCGACGAUCCGUAGCUGGUCUGAGAGGAUGAUCAGGCACAAUGGGACGGAGAGACGGACGAGAUGGGUACGGGAGGGAGAAGUGGGGAAUAGUUGUAAAUGGGAGAAAGAAUGAUACAGAAAUGACGCGUGAGUGAUGAAGGCAUAAGGGUUGUAAAGCCAGUUGACACGGGAUGAGAAUGACGGGAGAGGGAAAAUAAGCGCAGGCUAACUCCGUG
rnacentral:rRNA from 1 species